AAUCAACGCUGGCGGCGUGCCUCAGACAUGCAAGUCGAACGAUUAAAGCUCUCUUCGGAGAGUGUAUAGAGUGGCGCACGGGUGAGUAACACGUAAGUAAUCUACCUUCGAGUGGGGAAUACCGUCCGGAAACGGACGCUAAUACCGCAUAAUGCAGCGGCAUCGUAAGAUGACAGUUGUUAAAGAUUUUAUCGCUUGAAGAGGAGCUUGCGGCAGAUAGCUAGUUGGUAAGGUAAUGGCUUACCAAGGCUACGAUCUGUAACCGGUCUUAGAGGACGGUCGGUCACACUGACACUGAAUAACGGGUCAGACUCCUACGGGAGGCAGCAGUCGGGAAUUUUGGGCAAUGGGCGAAAGCCUGACCCAGCAACGCCGCGUGAAGGAUGAAGUAUUUCGGUAU
rnacentral:rRNA from 1 species